AACAAGUUUAAAGUUAAUCACCCAAUCCUUCUCCCCAAAUGAUGUCUACAUCAGGCGGCUCCAUGCAGACUCGUUUGAUGGUAUUCCAUAUUGAUCUGAAUCAUCUGAAAUAGAAGAAUGCUUCAAAUUCAGGAGGACCGUAUAUUGCAGGAUCCAAUUUGCUUGUGAUAGGGAAUUCCUGUGAAUGAUCAGAUCCCCUUUUAUAGUGACUUUCCAUCAACAGUUGAUAGAUGCACAACAAACUCAUGCUCAGAUUAAAGAUUCUACCUUUAAUAGCUCAAUAUUCACAGGGUUCACCCCGGCCAAAGUCUGUCGAGCAAACUCAUUAUCCCUUAGCCAAGAAAAUCUGUCUCCUGAAAAGCAAGGAACUGGUUCUUCUGGACUCCUUCUGUCUCUUCUUCUUUCAACUGGACGCCAUCAUUGUAUAGAUUGUCUAUAUCGGAGAAGGUGGUGAAGGGAACAUCAGAACUUGACAAUGUGGCAGCAAUCAA